UUAAAAGAAUCCAUUAGGAAUAUUACUGUUAAUAAUACGUAGAGAUAUAAUAAAUCUCCUUUUAAA
rnacentral:tRNA from 1 species